rnacentral:rRNA from 1 species
AUUGAACGCUGGCGGCAGGCCUAACACAUGCAAGUCGAGCGAGAGGCGGGCGGGUGAGUGAAGUCUGGGAAACAGCCUGAUGGGGGGGGGUAACUCCAGGAGAAGGUGUCGCGUACCCCGUACGAUCUGAUGUGGGCCGAUUGGAUUAGCUAGUAGGUGGGGUAAUGGCUCACCUAGGCGACGAUCCCUAGCUGGUCUGAGAGGAUGACCAGCCACACUGGAACUGAGACACGGUCCAGACUCCUACGGGAGGCAGCAGUGGGGAAUAUUGCACAAUGGGCGCAAGCCUGAUGCAGCCAUGCCGCGUGUGUGAAGAAGGCCUUCGGGUUGUAAAGCACUUUCAGCGGGGAGGCGUUACCCGCAGAAGAAGCACCGGCUAACUCCGUGCCAGCAGCCGCGGUAAUUC